ensembl:lncRNA
AAAUUUCUACUGCUGAGACGUGCUGCGUUUGGGGGGGUGUUUUUUCUCCGGUGAAAGGGAUUAAAAGCCUCAGUACUCCGGAGCACUUCGGCAGAGAGGAAUUGACGGCCGAGAUCAAAGGAACACUCAGAGAAGGAGCGGCGCACAAGGCCUCCGUGCGCCCCCGGGGGGGGGUCGAGGGGAAGGGGGUCAAUUCUCCACCGGUUUCCGCUCCUCGGAGGGGGGGCCCGAGCCGUGUGCGUCUCUCAUCGCCCCGGCUACCUUUAGCCUGAGUAGAUGUAGGGAUUAGAGGACGAGGCACAAGACGUCGCGCGUGUCAAAAUCACUUCUGAUCCUGAAAUAAUGAGAAACUCAGUGUGGCGCCACAGCAGUUGGGGAAGCUAUCGAUGUGAUGAAGACGAGCAGAGAGUGUGGCCACAAAGACGUUUCGAUUAGUUCAAGUGAUUUGAGGCUUAUUCUUGACUGCGCGAUGGAUUUAUUUGGAUGGCCGCCUGCCUCUCGAAUCAGAGAAGAGAACGUUUUGUUUUCUAGGUUUUAAAAGGUAACGCGACCGUCCGUCACGUGUGCCGCGCGAUGAGAGAGAGAGACGUGUCCGAGCUCACGUACCUGAGGCUGAUUUGACUGCCAAACAGCGUCGCUUCGUCCUGAGAUGGAAUUCAAAUCACGGGGAGACGCCGGCCUCUGGAAGCGGCAGCCUGAACCGGGCACCAGUGUCACGUUCCAUUUCUGUGAAUUCUGCAAAGAAAAUGUGUUGAAAACGUCAAACCGUCUGGCACCGUGAUUUGGAUUCAACUUUAUCCCAGACGGACGGGUGGAAAUGUUCUUGGCAAUUGUAGGUGUUUUUUUAUUUUUUAAUGGCAUGAAAACUCAUCUCUACUCUUGUAAUAAUUCAAGUGUGUGCAGCUACAUCGAUUAAUGAGAAGGAAUGUGUAGAUGUCCCAUGAAAUCCAACUCAUCAUGGAGCAGGAGUUGCAGUUGUAAUUGUUUGCUGACCAAACUAAGUCUUUUUUCCGGUGAAGAUGAUCUAUUUUGAGUGAAAAGACAGUGUGCAUGUUACGAAGUCGACAUGCGAUGCCGGACUGAACUCAAGGCCAAAGGUUUUGACCAUUUGGUUUUGGACCUUUCGUGCCUCUUGCUUAAUGAGCGGCAACAACCACUUCGCCACCUGCGAUAAUAGAGCACAAACGAAAAGAAGCUGAUUCUGAUCUUCGCUGGGAGUCACUGACAUCUGAAACAAGCUCUUGUAAAAUCAGCCAGUCAGAGCCAGUAAGAGACCGGCAAUGGCGAUGAUGAUGAUGAUGAUGAUGGUGACGAUGAUGAUGAUGGUGAUGAUGAUGAUGAUGAUGAUGAUGAUGAUGAUGAUGGCGAUGAUGAUGAUGAUGGCGAUGAUGGUGAUGCAUACUUCUGUCACUUCACACAGCGUUUGAUCAGAUUCUGGAUGCGGUUGAGAUGAACACUCGGUCUGUUGUCUUCAUCAGUUCCUCCGUCAUAAAGAUCAGUCUGUUCGUUCACACACACACACACACACACAGACACACACACACACACACACACACACACACACACACACACACACGCGCGCGCGCUAAAGGUCUUCGCCUUUUGUCCCUUGGCGUCACACAGCUGACUGAGCACUGGCCUUUUCCUGUAGGAAUUUGUUAGAAGUUUCCUGCAUAUGUAAAAUCUCAACUUCCGGAUCGGCUCCACCAAGUUACAGUAGAUUGAAAAAGUGUUGCUCGUCACUAAACAGUAAUUUGCAGGUAGCGUUUCUAAUCCUAAUCUCGUCUAGCUGGCGAGCACCAAAAAAAAAAAAAACAUUUGCAAAAGGCUUUAAAAAUGAAGAGCGGGGAAGACGGCUAAAUGGAAGCACGGGGAGCCGGAGAGACGCAAUGGCAGGAGGCAAACCAAAUGAAGGCCUUGUUCCCAGAACCUGGGCGACGUCCUUGUGAGGGAUUAUGAAAAAGUCGGAGUUUUGGCAUCCGAGCGACCCAAAUGUCUGGGCUCUAUUUCAAUCCCCCCCGACAAACCCCGGGAAGCUGCUUCCCCUCCAACCGAGACGAUGAGCGACGUAGUAACAGUUUAUUCUGAGAUCGACCGAGGGUCUAAAAAUGGAGCCGUCGGUGGAUCCCAGUGGGUGGAAACUCUUUGCAAAAAGCUUUGCAGCUGACGUGGUUUCCACUGUCGAGCAAGUCGCGGGUCACACGUGGCGAUGUGAGACGGCAGGAAUCAAAUGUGCUUCCUGCCUCGGUGGCAGCGUGUCGGCCGUUCGCUCCCUACACUUUGGUCCUUUUCCACUGGCAGCAGCACGAUCCGGAUCUUGAUUGCGACAAGAUUUGGUACAAUUAUUCCCCUUUUUAAUCGGGCCCUCUGCUCGCUGCCCUUAAGCACCACCUGGUCUGUUUAUUCGCUCCUCACCCUUUUU